GGGAGUAGUAAUUUAUUAUGCAACGGCAAUACACAAAAGCGAAUAAUUUGCAAAAGUGAAAUUUCACUAUUCGAUUCUUAACCGUAUCUUGAAUAUGUCAUGACCUUCGUAACAAUCUCUUUCUCAAUAUGAGAUAAGAAAUUAAAUCAGAAAUAGUUUAGGGGAUAAGGAUUAGGGAAAUAUGGCUUAUUUAUUACAGUUGUUUGAGUUGGAGGAACGACAUCAGGAGUAGGAGGGUCAAUCGUGAUGCCUGCAUGCCCACCGUCAUUGAUGUUGCCCAAUAGGAGACUCCUUUCCGAAGACUCCAUGUUAAUCCUCGUGAAACGUGCUAGAAAAUAAAGAUAAAUCUAAGAAAUUCUCACAAAAAUCACAAAUAUCGGGUCAUCAAUUCAGCAGUUCAAUCGUCAUAAUCACUAGAUCUAUUUUUUUCUAAAAAAUUACCCACCUUUUUCAUAUGAAAACACACUAAAAUAACCCCCUAAUUAUAUAUCUAAAUUACCCAUAUCUUUCAUUAUAAAAAAUAACCUAAAGUACCCCUAAUCUUCAUCUAAAUCACCCACUUAUGCCAUAAUAAAACAAAACUUAAAACAACCCCCAUAAAUUUGCAUCUAAACUGCAUACAUGUCAUGAUUAAAAAUAACCCUUCAAUUCAAAUCUUACCUAUAUCUAUCACUAUUAAAAAUGUAUAUCCCAUAGUACACUUGAUUCUAAAUUACUUGAUUCUUUCAUUGUUAAUACAGAAAAUACUAACUUAAGGUACAUAUGCAUGAUGUGUAUCACUAUAUAGAUCAUGUAUAUAUGUACCGAAAGAAACCUUGAGAAUAUAAAUUUAUAUACUAAACACAUAGUUCAAACUAAAGGUUCAGUUGUAUAACUACCAAACAUAUAUAGAGAUGCGAUGCAAAAUAACAAAAACUAUGAAUGUGGAUGAACUCACUAACUAAGCUACUACAACCGGAUAAAGAUAAGUAUGUAUCUGCAUGAGUAUUGUGUUAGAAUAUUUAAAAGAUGAGAGACAACAAGAUAAUAAAUUUUGAUUAUUAACUAUGAGUCCUAAUUUUCUUUAUAAAUUUUUCGUACUUAUGACUCUCAAAAUUAUUAGCCGUGCGGGAGAACGGAUUGAUGGGCUAGUGUAGAAAAAAUAAUGUGCAGUAUGGCUGGAGCAUUCCCGUUGGUGCAGUUGCAUGUUGAGCUUCUUACGAUGAACUUGUUUUUGUGUCUGAAAUCUCAAAAAUUAUGCUUAUUUAUAAUCUAUUUUCCCCUUUGAGCAACAUCCUUUUUUUAUUUUAUGAUCUGCUGGGCUUCUUUGGUGGCAAAGGCGAACAUAUUGGACGUCGGAGCGCUGUCAUCCUAAG
rnacentral:lncRNA from 1 species